UGUCAGAAGUGGGAUGCGAACCCACGCCUGCAAGAGUAGACUAACACUGCCUUUGCCGGUCCUAAACCCGGAUGAAAAAAGUGGAGGGGGAGCAGUAACAAGCUCACUAAGAAACCUGGGCUCAGCUGAUAGUACCCUGUAAGGGCUCCUAAUCCAGGGAUACAGGAUGAACAGCGUUUGUACUCCAUGUUAGGAGUGGCUGCACAUGACGUCUGUUCCUCAUGUCAGAGGCGGCCAUUUCUUUUGGAGCUAAGUCGGCCUGCCACUGAGUAGUGCUCCCAGUCUUAAUGACAAAGGCAGACACAUUCUAUUUCACCCAGUGUGGAGAUAAGAAAGAAGAAGAGUUAGACUGCGACCUUGCGCCUUAGACCGCUCGGCCAUACUGAC
rnacentral:tRNA from 1 species